AUCCAGAUGAGGAGUCCCGAAUGGGACGAAACGUGCCUCUUGGAU
rfam:Schistosoma rodhaini strain Burundi genome assembly, scaffold: SROB_scaffold0000012